rnacentral:rRNA from 1 species
CUGUCUCAAAGAUUAAGCCAUGCAUGUCUCAGUACAAGCCAAAUUAAGGUGAAACCGCGAAAGGCUCAUUAAAUCAGUUAUGGUUCCUUAGAUCGUACCCACAUUACUUGGAUAACUGUGGUAAUUCUAGAGCUAAUACAUGCAAACAGAGCUCCGACCGGAGACGGAAGGAGCGCUUUUAUUAGAUCAAAACCAAUCGGUGGCGGUUUCCGUCAUCGUACAACUUGGUGACUCUGAAUAACUUUACGCUGAUCGCACGGUCUUGCACCGGCGACGCAUCUUUCAAAUGUCUGCCUUAUCAACUGUCGAUGGUAGGUUCUGCGCCUACCAUGGUUGUAACGGGUAACGGGGAAUCAGGGUUCGAUUCCGGAGAGGGAGCCUGAGAAACGGCUACCACAUCCAAGGAAGGCAGCAGGCGCGCAAAUUACCCACUCCCGGCACGGGGAGGUAGUGACGAAAAAUAACGAUACGGGACUCAUCCGAGGCCCCGUAAUCGGAAUGAGUACACUCUAAACCCUUUAACGAGGAUCAAUUGGAGGGCAAGUCUGGUGCCAGCAGCCGCGGUAAUUCCAGCUCCAAUAGCGUAUAUUAAAGUUGUUGCGGUUAAAAAGCUCGUAGUCGAAUCUGUGUCCCGCGCCGCCGGUUCAUCGUUCGCGGUGUUAACUGGCGUGUCGCGGGACGUCCUGCCGGUGGGCUUAGCUCGCAAGAGCGGCCCAACUCAAUCCCGCCGCGGUGCUCUUCAUUGAGUGUCGAGGUGGGCCGGCACGUUUACUUUGAACAAAUUAGAGUGCUUAAAGCAGGCUAAAACUUUGCCUGAAUACUGUGUGCAUGGAAUAAUGGAAUAGGACCUCGGUUCUAUUUUGUUGGUUUUCGGAACCCCGAGGUAAUGAUUAAUAGGAACGGAUGGGGGCAUUCGUAUUGCGACGUUAGAGGUGAAAUUCUUGGAUCGUCGCAA